ACGGAAGGCAGCAGUGGGGGAUAUUAGGCAAUGGGGGAAACCCUGACCUAGCAACGCCGCGUGAAGGAUGAAGGUUUUCGGAUUGUAAACUUCUUUUAUAAGUGAAGAUAAUGACGGUAGCUUAUGAAUAAGCCACGGCUAACUACGUGCCAGCAGCCGCGGUAAUACGUAGGUGGCAAGCGUUGUCCGGAUUUACUGGGUGUAAAGGGCGAGUAGGCGGGUCUGCAAGUCAGAUGUGAAAUCUUGGGGCUUAACUCCAAACGUGCAUUUGAAACUGUAGAUCUUGAGUGAUGGAGAGGCAGGCGGAAUUCCCGGUGUAGCGGUGAAAUGCAUAGAGAUCGGGAGGAACACCAGUGGCGAAGGCGGCCUGCUGGACAUUAACUGACGCUGAGGAGCGAAAGUGUGGGGAGCAAACAGGAUUAGAUACCCUGGUA
rnacentral:rRNA from 1 species